UAGCCCAUUUGCCGUGUCCAGGCACACAGGAGCGUUCUGGGGGUGGGCAGGGGGCUGCUGUCCAGUGAGGCCAGAGCCCUGGGCACCUCUGUGCGUGCCUGGCCGAGCAGUCCCUGCUGAAAGCUGCUGUGUCCUGUUCAAACUCUGUGUGCUCGUCCUGUACUCCAUUCCACGUUGUCUGAGUUGUGCCCCUGAAUGUUCUGGAGCUGGGAAGGCUGAACGCCUGCCUUGGGGAGCGAGGCAGGGCUGACACGUGCUCUGCAGCCUCAGCCUGCUGCUCAGUUCUGUCCUAACCCAAAGCUAGGCGUAGGUUUGCUAGGCGCAGUCUCCAGCACAGCAGGGCUGUUCUGGCUGUGCUCUGGGCACUUUGCAGGGUUCCUUAGAGCCAGCCUUUCCUUUGGCACAAUGCUUGCUGCCCAUGGGCCUGCAUGUGAGGUGCCUGGCCUCUUCCUUUUCUCCCUGGGAUUCUCUCCAGGGGUACAUCAUCCUGCUGUUGGCUUUAGGAGGUUUGGCUGACACUGACACUGUCUUUCUGUGCCUGACAGGAUGUUCCUUAGCUUUUAGCUCCUGAAGCACACUGACCUCAGUCCUGUGCUCUCACCCCUCAGAGCUAGUGUUCCUGGGGUCAGUGCCACUUCCUGAACAUCACAGACCUUAAAGAGCCAAAGGCCUUUGAAAAGAGGAUUGCCAUGUCACUCACAGAAUUCAGUGCAGCAGAAAGUGGGUAAUUAAAGUUGAGAGAAUGCUGCAAAUGUUCCCAUUUAUUACCCAGUGUCUGCAUUUGCAGAAAGCUCUUCUAUGCUUUUCUGGAUUAUGAAACUUAAGAAUGACACUCAGACUUCUUAGAAAGAGUGAAGAUUUAAUUUUGGACAUGUAGUAGAGCAUGAACAGUUCUUGCUGAGAGCAGCUCUGAAAGUUGGAGGCAUCUGAUGCUCGUGUGCCUGAGUACAGACAAGUGGCUGCACACCAGUGUGCCUGCUCUGGUUGUGCUCUGUUAAAGCUUAGCACAGUCCUGCUCUAGGGUUUAAACUGGGGCUCCUGAGUGUUGUAGUGUAGCAGCUGGGGCCAGGACAGGUAUUAGGUGUGUGGUAGGUGUGGAUGAGCAGCCCCCGAGCCUCAGCUGAUCUGUGUAGCAAAUGCUGAUACACCUUAGUAGCAAAUAGCCAUGUGAGUACUAACGUGUGUAGUAGCUGCUGUACAUCCCAUGUAAAACACUGACUGGUUUGUAUUUUUACUGUACAUAAAUUAAAGCCUCUUCAGUUGUUCAA